CCACCACUUAAACGUGGAUGUACUUGCUUUGGAACCAGAGAAGUAAGUGCUUCCAUGUUUCAGUGAUGG
ensembl:miRNA MIR302A microRNA 302a